AAAUCUGGCUUUCGGGCCCGAGUUGUAAUUUGUAGAGGAUACUUUUGAUGCGGUGCCUUCCGAGUUCCCUGGAACGGGACGCCAUAGAGGGUGAGAGCCCCGUCUGGUUGGAUGCCAAAUCUCUGUAAAGUUCCUUCGACGAGUCGAGUAGUUUGGGAAUGCUGCUCUAAAUGGGAGGUAUAUGUCUUCUAAAGCUAAAUAUUGGCCAGAGACCGAUAGCGCACAAGUAGAGUGAUCGAAAGAUGAAAAGCACUUUGAAAAGAGAGUUAAAAAGUACGUGAAAUUGUUGAAAGGGAAGCGUUUAUGACCAGACUUGGACUUGGUUAAUCAUCUGGGGUUCUCCCCAGUGCACUUUUCCAGUUCAGGCCAGCAUCAGUUUUCGCCGGGGGAUAAAGGCUUCGGGAAUGUAGCUCUCUUCGGGGAGUGUUAUAGCCCGUUGUGUAAUACCCUGGUGGAGACUGAGGUUCGCGCUUCUGCAAGGAUGCUGGCGUAAUGGUCAUCAACGACCCGUCUUGAAACACGGACCAAGGAGUCGUCUUCGUAUGCGAGUGUUCGGGUGUCAAACCCCUACGCGUAAUGAAAGUGAA
rnacentral:rRNA from 1 species